rnacentral:rRNA from 1 species
CCUACGGGAGGCAGCAGUGAGGAAUAUUGGUCAAUGGGAGAGAUCCUGAACCAGCCAAGCCGCGUGAGGGAAGACGGCCCUAUGGGUUGUAAACCUCUUUUGUCGGAGAACAAAACCCGGGACGUGUCCCGGACUGCGUGUAUCCGAAGAAAAAGCAUCGGCUAAUUCCGUGCCCGCAGCCGCGGUAAUACGGAGGAUGCGAGCGUUAUCCGGAUUUAUUGGGUUUAAAGGGUGCGUAGGAGGUCCAUUAGGUCAGCGGUAAAAUUGCGGGGCCCAACCCCGUCGCGCGGUUGAAACUGGAAGAAUGGAGUGGGCGAGAGGUACGCGGAAUGCGCGGGGUAGCGGUGAAAUGCGUAGAUAUCGCGCAGAACACCGAUUGCGAAGGCAGCGUACCGGCGCCAGACUGACGCUGAGGCACGAAAGCGUGGGGAUCGAACAGGAUUAGAUACCCCAGUAGUC